CCUACGGGCGGCAGCAGUGAGGAAUAUUGCACAAUGGAGGCAACCCUGAUGCAGCGACGCCGCGUGCGGGAAGAAGUCUCUCGGUAUGUUAAGCUCUAUUUGCAGGGGAGAAAAUGACGGUACCUGAGUCAGAAGCUCUGGCUAAAUACGUGACAGCAGCCGCGGUAAUACGUAGGGAGCACGCGUUCUCCGGAUUUACUGGGCGUAAUGGGAGCGUAGGCGGGCUGCCAAGUCUGAUGUGAACGACCGGGGCUCAACCCCGGGACUACAGUUGAAACUGGCAGGCUGGAGUGCCGUAGAGGCAGGCGGAAUGCCUGGUGUAGCGGUGAAAGGCUUAGAUAUUAUGAGGAACUCCAGUGGCGAAGGC
rnacentral:rRNA from 1 species